rnacentral:rRNA from 1 species
AUUGAACGCUGGCGGCAGGCCUAACACAUGCAAGUCGAGCGAGCGGCGGACGGGUGAGUAAUGUCGGGGAAACUGCCUGAUGGAGGGGGAUCACUACUGGAAACGGUAGCUAAUACCGCAUACCAUCAGAUUUGCCCAGUGGGGAUUAGCUAGUAGGUGGGGUAACGGCUCACCUAGGCGACGAUCCCUAGCUGGUCUGAGAGGAUGACCAGCCACACUGGAACUGAGACACGGUCCAGACUCCUACGGGAGGCAGCAGUGGGGAAUAUUGCACAAUGGGCGAAAGCCUGAUGCAGCCAUGCCGCGUGUGUGAAGAAGGCCUUCGGGUUGUAAAGCACUGUCAGCGGGGAGGCGUUACCCGCAGAAGAAGCACCGGCUAACUCCGUGCCAGCAGCCGCGGUAAUAC